CUGACUGCUAUCGGAUUGAUACUAAGCCAUGCGAGUCUUUGUAGUAAUACAAGGCAGACGGCUCAGUAACACGUAGUCAACCUACCCUAUGGACAAGAAUAAUCUCGGGAAACUGGGCAUAAUUCUUGAUAGAUCAUAAUGCCUGGAAUGGUUUAUGGUUAAAAUGAUUCGUCGCCAUAGGAUGGGACUGCGGCCUAUCAGCUUGUUGGUGAGGUAAUGGCCCACCAAGGCGAUUACAGGUACGGGCUCUGAGAGGAGAAGCCCGGAGAUGGGUACUGAGACACGGACCCAGGCCCUAUGGGGCGCAGCAGGCGAGAAAACUUUGCAAUGUGCGAAAGCACGACAAGGUUAAUCCGAGUGAUUUCUGCUAAAGAAAUCUUUUGCCAGUCAUAAAACCACUGGUGAAUAAGGGGUGGGCAAGUUCUGGUGUCAGCCGCCGCGGUAAAACCAGCACCUCAAGUGGUCAGGAUGAUUAUUGGGCCUAAAGCAUCCGUAGCCGGCUUUGUUAGUUUUCGGUUAAAUCCAUGUGCUCAACGCAUGGGCUGCCGAAAAUACUGCAUGGCUAGGGAGUGGGAGAGGUAGACGGUACUCAGUAGGAAGGGGUAAAAUCCUUUGAUCUAUUGAUGACCACCUGUGGCGAAGGCGGUCUACCAGAACACGUUCGACGGUGAGGGAUGAAAGCUGGGGGAGCAAACCGGAUUAGAUACCCGGGUAGUCCCAGCUGUAAACGAUGCAGACUCGAUGAUGCAUUGGCAUAAUAGCCAGUGCAGUGUCGCAGGGAAGCCGUUAAGUCUGCCGCCUGGGAAGUACGUACGCAAGUAUGAAACUU
rnacentral:rRNA from 1 species